UACGUAGGUGGCAAGCGUUGUUCGGAAUUAUUGGGCGUAAAGCGCGCGCAGGCGGUUUCUUAAGUCUGAUGUGAAAUCUCGUGGCUCAACCACGAGCGGCCAUUGGAAACUGGGAAACUUGAGUGCAGAAGAGAAGAGCGGAAUUCCACGUGUAGCGGUGAAAUGCGUAGAGAUGUGGAGGAACACCAGUUGCGAAGGCGGCUCUCUGGACUGAAACUGACGCUGAGGCACGAAAGCGUGGGGAGCAAACAGGAUUAGA
rnacentral:rRNA from 1 species